rnacentral:hammerhead_ribozyme from 1 species
GCAUUGCUGAGGUGUCCCAAGAUAAGACGAAACGGCCGUCCAGUGC